CAAGAUUAAGUAAUUUCUCCUCCUCUAUGUUCUUCGUUACCAGAGGAUAGGAUGAACAGCCCGGAGACUGGUACGACACUCUUACGGUGGCCCUGUUUGGAUAAGGAACGAACAAAAUCUAGAAUAUAAGACAAUUAUCUGUAUUUUAUUUUCAUGACUCCCCAUUUUGGAUAAGGAACCAAUGAACCUUCCAUCUUUCCCCUUCCAAUUGCCAUCAUCAUAUUCAUUCCACCUUUUCAGUGCCCUCUGUUUUCUCAGAUUCACACCAAAAAUUCAACACUUUUACGGCUCCCAUUAACCAGAUCUAAACAGAUUUCGUCGAGUGGUCUUACCCGAUUCAUAUCUCAAAUUACUUGUCGAUUCUGUUCGAUUUGAAUAUUCGGCAAGUGGGAUUGAGACCUUGUGGACAAUACUCAGAUUAGUAAAUUGAUAAACAGAGUCAAGCCGAACAGAUGGUGGGUUUGGAUGCUUUAUUUCUGGUUUGUUUUCAAUCUUUUUGUGGUUCUUCCCUAAUUUUAUUUGAGUGUUUCAGUUUGUGUAAUCCAACAACUUUCUUAUCGAUUUUUGACCUGUGAUUAAGUGAUCUGUGUGGGAUUAUUGUUUUGU
rnacentral:lncRNA from 1 species